rnacentral:rRNA from 1 species
GCUCGAGUGGCGAACGGGUGAGUAACACGUGGGUGAUCUGCCCUGCACUUUGGGAUAAGCCUGGGAAACUGGGUCUAAUACCGGAUAGGACCACGGUCUGCAUGGAUUGUGGUGGAAAGCUUUUGCGGUGUGGGAUGGGCCCGCGGCCUAUCAGCUUGUUGGUGGGGUGAUGGCCUACCAAGGCGACGACGGGUAGCCGGCCUGAGAGGGUGACCGGCCACACUGGGACUGAGAUACGGCCCAGACUCCUACGGGAGGCAGCAGUGGGGAAUAUUGCACAAUGGGCGCAAGCCUGAUGCAGCGACGCCGCGUGAGGGAUGACGGCCUUCGGGUUGUAAACCUCUUUCAGCACAGACGAAGCGCAAGUGACGGUAUGUGCAGAAGAAGGACCGGCCAACUACGUGCCAGCAGCCGCGGUAAUACGUAGGGUCCGAGCGUUGUCCGGAAUUACUG